rnacentral:rRNA from 1 species
AACUACGGCCAUACCACACUGAACAAGCUUGAUACUGUCUGAUCUCGGAAACUAAGCAGGGUCGGGCCUGGUUGGUACUUGGAUGGGACACCCCCUAGGAAGACCGAGUGCUGUAGGUG